AUCUACGACCAUACCUCCCCCCACCCCCAUCUCAUCUGACCUUGGAAGUUAAGCAGGGUCAGACCUGGUUAGUACUUGGGUGGGAGGUCCAAAAGGAGCCAGGGUAUUUUUGCAU
ensembl:rRNA 5S_rRNA 5S ribosomal RNA